rnacentral:rRNA from 1 species
AUGGUGUUUCUGGGCUGGCUCAAAUGGAGGACGAAGGAGCAGCUACAGACCGACAAGAAGGUGACCAGCGUUUUCGUGCUGAAUCUCCGACGAGGUCCCCCGGAUGGACUAAAAGACCGAGUGCCAUGCCCAUCGAGGAUGAGCGCUCUCGAGGUUUCAAUCCUCAAAUAUGCAGAGCAGCCUGACAAGAGCGUUGUUAGACCUGAGCUAGGACUCAGUUUUGAUUCGUUGGGCGAGGCAUAUGAUUUCUAUAACCUAUAUUCUUGGGAAUUAGGUUUUGGCAUAAGAUAUGGAAAAAGCAGACUCAACGCCGAGAGGACAAAAGGCAUGCAGGAAAUAGUUUGUGGUUGCUCGGGGAAACCGGAAACCGGAAACAGUCAGUCCUGCAUAUGUGAGUUCCCAGCUCUGAUCAGGCUUCUGCGUGCAUCUAACAACAGCUGGUACAUAACAGAGCAUCGAGCGAGUCACAACCAUUCCAUGUCGCUGACAAUGGGAGAGAAAGUGCACUGGCCUUCUCAUAAACACAUAGAUAUAUACACUAAGCAUUUGAUAAAGCAACUGAGGGAAAACAAUGUUAACCUUGGGAAGGUAUACAGCAUAGUUGGGAGCUUCUUUGGUUCGGUCAAGAAGGUCCCUUUCACGAAGAGGACGCUCAGGAGUAUUUGUGGGAAGAUUAGCCGUGAACAGGCUGAAGACGAUGUCCAAAAGACACUUGAGGCGUUCGCUGACAUCCAGGCCAAUACCAUUGCCAAACUGAUUUUGAAUUUUUUUGAACGGGUCGCCGGCAUCCGAUGGGAGGUUCUCUCGCUGAAUCGGCAAGUAGUGGCACAACCAGAGGGGCGGGGCAUGAUGCGUUCGUGGGAUUGA